GGGGCUCGUGAUAUCUCAUCUCGCCGCCCGUCGCGAGGCGGACGGAGGGAUGGAUGAGGUUACCUGGAAAAAUCGGGGCGAUCUAGGCGGGCGAACCUCGCCAACGAACGAUCGGACAUGGGAUAACGGAAGAGGGCGUCGGCUCGACUUCGUCGGUUCCUCGGGCCGAGGCACGUACGGUGAAUAGGGACGGUCGGGGCCGCCCGUACCGGGUCGUGAGAGGUGAAAUUCUAGGAUCGACCCGAGACGAACCGCCGCGAAAGCAUUCGGCAAGGACGCUUUCAUUAAUCAAGAACGAAAGUCGGGGGAUCGAAGACGAUCAGAUACCGUCGUAGUCCCGACCGUAAACGAUGCCGACCGAGGGCCCGGAGGAGUUACGUACGACCCUCCGGGCCCUCCCGCGAGAAAUCAGGAGUAUUCGGGUUCCGGGGGGAGUAUGGUCGCAAGGCCGAAACUUAAAGGAAUUGACGGAAGGGC
rnacentral:rRNA from 1 species